rnacentral:rRNA from 1 species
UACGAAGGGGCUAGCGUUGCUCGGAAUUACUGGGCGUAAAGGGCGCGUAGGCGGAUAGUUUAGUCAGAGGUAAAAGCCCAGGGCUCAACCUUGGAACUGCCUUUGAUACUGGCUAUCUUGAGUUCGGGAGAGGUGAGUGGAAUGCCGAGUGUAGAGGUGAAAUUCGUAGAUAUUCGGCGGAACACCAGUGGCGAAGGGCGACUCACUGGCCCCGAUACUGACGCUGAGGCGCGGAAAGCGUGGGGAGCAAACAGGG